CUGGUAGUCCACGCCGUAAACGAUGACAACUAGCUGUUGGGAGACAAGAUCUCUCAGUGGCGCAGCUAACGCUUUAAGUUGUCCGCCUGGGGAGUACGGCCGCAAGGUUAAAACUCAAAUGAAUUGACGGGGACCCGCACAAGCGGUGGAGCAUGUGGUUUAAUUCGAUGCAACGCGAAAAACCUUACCUACUCUUGACAUACUUGGAAGCUCUUGUAAUGAGAGUGUGCUUUUAGAGCCAAGAUACAGGUGCUGCAUGGCUGUCGUCAGCUCGUGUCGUGAGAUGUUGGGUUAAGUCCCAUAACGAGCGCAACCCUUACCCUUAUUUGCCAGCGGUUCGGCCGGGAACUAUAAGGGGACUGCCGGUGACAAACCGGAGGAAGGUGAGGACGACGUCAAGUCAUCAUGGCCCUUACGAGUAGGGCUACACACGUGCUACAAUGGGGAAUACAGACGGACGCUAAAGCGUGAGCUGGUGCCAAUCCUAAAAAAUUUCUCGUAGUCCGGAUUGCAGUCUGCAACUCGACUGCAUGAAGUCGGAAUCGCUAGUAAUCGCGAAUCAGCAUGUCGCGGUGAAUACGUUCUCGGGUCUUGUACACACCGCCCGUCACACCAUGGAAGUGUGUUGCACCAGAAGUAGGUAGUCUAACCUUCGGGAAGGCGCUUACCACGGUGUGAUCCAUGACUGGGGUGAAGUCGUAACAAGGUAACCGUA
rnacentral:rRNA from 1 species